AGGGAACUGUCUCGAUGGCACUUGGUAACUGCAGCUCUUCUUCAAAGAAAUUAGGGAAUUGUCUCGACUACCGUUCUUCCACCGCCGGCGUUCUCUCUCUAGUGCAGCAGGAGGUCACCGGUCCUCCACCGCCGGUGUUAUCCUUCGUAUAGCAGCGCAACUGGCGUCCUCCUUAACAGAGAUCGAAACUUUGGUCUGAAUUAAAAGGGGAAGGAUCGUAGGGUAGCUUGCUCGUUUCUAGACCAAUCACUUCUUCAAAUAUUUCAAAUAUCCCUUACUUCACUGUCACAACUGAAUUAAGAAUGAUGGUAGAAUGUCAAUACCUUUUUCAGAAUUGCAAUGCUUGCUUUUUAUGAGUUUAAUACAUAUGCUCUUCAUCGCAAUUUGUUUUAAAUACUUGCCUCCAUUGUUGACGAUACAGACAUGCAGUUGGUGGCAAGUUACAAGAACUAGCAAUUGCAUUGUCUCUCAAAUGUUAAUCUUUUGAUUUUAUGGGGACAAUAGUUAUGAAAGUUUAGAAGAUUUUAGCAAUAUUCAGGUACAUAUCUUUAGCAUUUCCUAAUAGUAAUUUAGCUCCUUUACAUACAUUUGGAGUUGUUAUCUAUUGUUCCUAAUUAAAUACUUCAUAGAUACAGUCUGCUUGGAAGCAAAUCCUUAAGGAUCCCUCAACAGUAUAGAUAUUUUUUUAUUACUUUCAAAUCAAUGAACCUAAUGUAUCAAAGGAUGUAAGAACAUUAGUAUUUUUGUUGUCUUUGCAAGUGAAUCUUGCACUCAAGUUAGCUAGCUAUAUAGUUGUCUAUAUUUGAUGUUGUUGUAGAAAAGUGACUUGGGUUUCGUCCAUGAUUCCUUGUGCUUGCUUCCUAUGAAGGCUAGAUUAAGUUGUUGAUAGAUUCUUUGGCCUGAUAGCAGUUGGCAUCAAGUUCCUUUAAUAGAAGUCCUAACUUCUGCAGUUGUAAAGAAAGCUUACAGGAAAGCCACUCUGUGCGUCCAUCCACCCCGACAAAUUACAGCAACGGGGUGCAACCAUUCAGCAAAAGUAUAUAUGCAAAAAGGUCUUUUAAAAAAAAUAUGCAAAAGGCCUUUAAUCUUCUAAAGGAAGCUUGGAACAAGUUCAACUCAUAGGAGCGAUAAGUGGUAGGCAAUACAUCAAGCCGGCUAUAGUGCAGUUGUUGUAAUUUAUACAAUUUCCAAGUCACAGUUU